AGAGUUUGAUCCUGGCUCAGAACGAACGCUGGCGGCAGGCUUAACACAUGCAAGUUGAACGGGAUUUGUGUGGUGCUUGCACCAUAUAAUGAGAGUAGCGCACUGGUGAGUAACACGUGGGAACGUGCCUUUUAGUGGGGGAUAACAUCUGGAAACGGAUGCUAAUACCGCAUACGCCCUGAGGGGGAAAGAUUUAUUGCUAAGAGGUCGGCCCGCGGUAGAUUAGGCAGUUGGUGGGGUAAAGGCCUACCAAACCUACGAUCUAUAGCUGGUCUGAGAGGACGAUCAGCCACAUUGGAACUGAGACACGGUCCAGACUCCUACGGGAGGCAGCAGUGAGGAAUAUUGGGCAAUGGAGGCAACUCUGACCCAGCCAUGCCGCGUGAGUGAGAAGGUUUUCGAAUUGUAAAGCUCUUUCGGGUGUGAAGAUGAUGACGGUAACACCAGAAGAAGCCCCGGCAAACUUCGUGCCAGCAGCCGCGGUAAUACGAAGGGGGCGAGCGUUGUUCGGAAUUACUGGGCGUAAAGGGUGUGUAGGCGGUUAAGUAAGAUAGUGGUGAAAUGCCGGGGCUCAACCUCGGAAUUGCCAUUAUGACUAUUUAGCUAGAAUGAUGCAGAGGAUAGCGGAAUACCCAGUGUAGAGGUGAAAUUCGUAGAUAUUGGGUAGAACACCAGAGGCGAAGGCGGCUAUCUGGGCAUUGAUUGACGCUGAGGCACGAAAGCAUGGGGAUCAAACAGGAUUAGAUACCCUGGUAGUCCAUGCUGUAAACGAUGAAUGCUAGUUGUUGGAGGAAUUCAGUGACGCAGUUAACACAAUAAGCAUUCCGCCUGGGGAGUACGGUCGCAAGAUUAAAAC
rnacentral:rRNA from 1 species